rnacentral:lncRNA from 1 species
CCUCAAAGAUUGCAAAAAUUAUAUAGCUCAAAGAAAAUUUCAAAUAUUGGCAAAGUUCUAACUUUAAUUCAAUAAUCAAUCCCAUCUCUCUUUCGAUUCUUGUAGUGUGUGUGUGAAACCAAUUCAAUCAAAUCCAUUCCCAAAAUCCUCAACAUCAACAGUCUUCGCCUCAAACAAAGAACAGAGUAGGUCAAACUAAUCUUAUCAUCUUGAUCUCCAAAUUUUUUCCUCUCACAGGAUUUUAUGUGCAUUUUCUUUUGAUUUUUUUUUUUAGCACAUGCACUUGAUUUUUUUUUUUC